GAUGAACGCUGGCGGCGUGCCUAAUACAUGCAAGUCGAGCGAACAGACGAGGAUCUUGCUCCUCUGACGUUAGCGGCGGACGGGUGAGUAACACGUGUAUAACCUACCUAUAAUACUGGGAUAACUUCGGGAAACCGGAGCUAAUACCGGAUAAUAUAUUGAACCGCAUGGUUCAAUAGUGAAAGACGGUUUUGCUGUCACUUAUAGAUGGAUCCGCGCCGCAUUAGCUAGUUGGUAAGGUAACGGCUUACCAAGGCAACGAUGCGUAACCGACCUGAGGGGGUGAUCGGCCACACUGGAACUGAGCCACGGUCAAGACUCCUACGGGAGGCCGCAGUAGGGAAUCUUCCGCAAUGGGCGAAAGCCUGACGGAGCAACGCCGAGUGAGUGAUGGAGUUCUUCGGAUCGUAAAACUCUGUUAUUAGGGAAGAACAAAUGUGUACGUAACUAUGCACGUCUUGACGGUAACUAAUCAGAAAGCAACGGCUAACUACGUG
rnacentral:rRNA from 1 species